AAACCAACAGGGAUUGCCUUAGUAGCGGCGAGUGAACCGGCAAAAGCUCAGAUUUGAAAGCCUCUUUUGGCAUUGUAUUCUGAAGCCUUGGUCCUGGGACCUGGUGCUUAAGUCUUCUGGAAAGGAGCGCCAUGGAGGGUGAUAGCCCCGUGAAGCACUAACCCCAUUGUAGGAUCUUGGCAUGGAGUCGAGUUGUUUGGGAAUGCAGCUCAAAUGGGUGGUAUGCUCCAUCUAAAGCUAAAUAUCUGCGAGAGACCGAUAGCGAACAAGUACUGUGAAGGAAAGAUGAAAAGAACUUUGAAAAGAGAGUGAAAUAGUACGUGAAAUUGUUGAAAUGGAAGGAUAGGCCGCUAACCACGCAGAGUCGUGUUUAGGGGGAGGACAAAAGCUGUAUACUUCAUCAUUCUUCGGAGUGAUGUCGUUGCGGUGCAUACUCCCACCUGCGCGAGUAUGGAUCUAAGACUCUGCUAAAUGGUGGUCUAUCAC
rnacentral:rRNA from 1 species